UCCCGCUUGACGCGGGCAGUCCCCCUAGAGUGCCCAACUAAAUGUAGCAACUAAUGACAAGGGUUGCGCUCGUUGCGGGACUUAACCCAACAUCUCACGACACGAGCUGACGACAGCCAUGCAGCACCUGUGUUCCGAUUCCCUUUCGGGCACAUCCAUAUCUCUACGGGCUCUCGGACAUGUCAAGGGUAGGUAAGGUUUUUCGCGUUGCAUCGAAUUAAUCCACAUAAUCCACCGCUUGUGCGGGUCCCCGUCAAUUCCUUUGAGUUUUAACCUUGCGGCCGUACUCCCCAGGCGGGCAACUUCACGCGUUAGCUACGGUACUGAGAAAUCGCUUCCCCAACACCCAGUUGCCAUCGUUUAGGGCGUGGACUAC
rnacentral:misc_RNA from 1 species